rnacentral:rRNA from 1 species
AGCGAACGCUGGCGGCAGGCUUAACACAUGCAAGUCGAACGGGCAUAGCAAUAUGUCAGUGGCAGACGGGUGAGUAACGCGUGGGAACGUACCUUUUGGUUCGGAACAACACAGGGAAACUUGUGCUAAUACCGGAUAAGCCCUUACGGGGAAAGAUUUAUCGCCGAAAGAUCGGCCCGCGUCUGAUUAGCUAGUUGGUAGGGUAAUGGCCUACCAAGGCGACGAUCAGUAGCUGGUCUGAGAGGAUGAUCAGCCACAUUGGGACUGAGACACGGCCCAAACUACUACGGGAGGCAGCAGUGGGGAAUAUUGGACAAUGGGCGAAAGCCUGAUCCAGCCACGCCGCGUGAGUGAUGAAGGCCCUAGGGUUGUAAAGCUCCUUUGUGCGGGAAGAUAAUGACGGUACCGCAAGAAUAAGCCCCGGCUAACUUCGUG